UGAUUUUCUUGGACAAAUCCACUGACUCGAAAUCAGGCGUACCGGUAACGGUACCGUGGGUUCGAAUCCCACCCUCUCCGCCA
rnacentral:tRNA from 1 species